GGGGUCUUAGCUUAGCUGGGAGAGCACUUCGCUGGCAUGCAAGAGAUCAGUGGUUCGAUCCCGCUAGCCUCCAC
rnacentral:tRNA from 1 species